rnacentral:rRNA from 1 species
UACGGAGGGGACUAGCGUUGUUCGGAAUUACUGGGCGUAAAGAGCGUGUAGGCGGCUUGGUAGGUCCGCUGUGAAAACUCGAGGCUCAACCUCGAGAUGUCGGCGGAAACCACUUGGCUAGAGUCCGGAAGAGGAGAGUGGAAUUCCCGGUGUAGCGGUGAAAUGCGCAGAUAUCGGGAAGAACACCUAUGGCGAAGGCAGCUCUCUGGGACGGUACUGACGCUGAGACGCGAAAGCGUGGGGAGCGAACAGG